UUGCCCUAGUAACGGCGAGUGAAGCGGCAACAGCUCAAAUUUGAAAUCUGGCUCUUUCAGAGUCCGAGUUGUAAUUUGCAGAGGGCGCUUUGGCUUUGGCAGCGGUCCAAGUUCCUUGGAACAGGACGUCACAGAGGGUGAGAAUCCCGUACGUGGUCGCUAGCUAUUGCCGUGUAAAGCCCCUUCGACGAGUCGAGUUGUUUGGGAAUGCAGCUCUAAAUGGGAGGUAAAUUUCUUCUAAAGCUAAAUAUUGGCCAGAGACCGAUAGCGCACAAGUAGAGUGAUCGAAAGAUGAAAAGCACUUUGGAAAGAGAGUCAAACAGCACGUGAAAUUGUUGAAAGGGAAGCGCUUGCAGCCAGACUUGCUUGCAGUUGCUCAUCCGGGCUUUUGCCCGGUGCACUCUUCUGCAGGCAGGCCAGCAUCAGUUUGGGCGGUGGGAUAAAGGUCUCUGUCACGUACCUCUCUUCGGGGAGGCCUUAUAGGGGAGGCGACAUACCACCAGCCUGGACUGAGGUCCGCGCAUCUGCUAGGAUGCUGGCG
rnacentral:rRNA from 2 species